rnacentral:rRNA from 1 species
AUGCUAGAGCCUGGGGCUCGACGGCAAGGACCAAAGGCAGUUCUUCUGCCAUGGGAGCGGCCGUCUCUACGGCCAGGGAUUGACAGCCUGCCGGAGUCGGUCGCUCCUCGGCAGGCUCAGAAUCCGCGGCAACACCCUUGCCGGCGGCCCCCGGGGGCUCAGCGGGAAAGUACUAGCCGGGGCCUGAUUUCCUCCGUUGCCUCUGGCUCCGGCAGGUAUCUGAAGGUGAGCGACGAACUUUUCGUCCACCUUCCAGGGACGUCGAGCUCCAGGGCGCCCAUCGAGGGAGAGGUGUUCGACGAGGAGGUGCUUGCCACUGCCGGGCUCGAGGUUGUUGACGAGCCGACCGCUGGUGGCGACGGUUCUCAGGAGGAGCGGCUUCUCCAGGCCAUGGGCGCCAGCUUUCGGAAGCUCCAGGCGCUCCACCGCGCCCGCCUGGACAAGGCCAAGUCCAGGAUGUCAACGGUGGACAAGGCGGAGGUGGACCUUAAGGGACGCGUCACCGAGACGCAAAAUUGGUUCCGCCAGGCUUGUGAGGAGCUGAAGGCCGCCCAGGGCGAGCUGGCCAAGUGUGAGGUGGAGCUCACCAUGAAGCGGGCCGACAUCGAGAAUGCCCAGGAGACGGCGAAGAACCUGGCCGCCGAGGCCGAGGCCGCUCGAACCCAGCACCAGGCCGCGCUGAACUCCCAGGAGGAGGACCUUGCCACUCGCGAGGAGAAGCUUGUUGCGACUCUCCGCGGCAAGGACGAGGAGGUGGAGAAGCUCGUUGCGUAG